rnacentral:rRNA from 1 species
UACGGAGGGUGCGAGCGUUGUCCGGAAUCAUUGGGCGUAAAGCGCGUGUAGGCGGCCCGGUAAGUCCGCUGUGAAAGUCCAGGGCUCAACCCUGGGAUGCCGGUCGAUACUGCCGGACUAGAGUUCGGAAGAGGCGAGUGGAAUUCCCGGUGUAGCGGUGAAAUGCGCAGAUAUCGGGAGGAACACCAAUGGCGAAGGCAGCUCGCUGGGACGUUACUGGACGCUGAG